CGACUCUCGGCAACGGAUAUCUCGGCUCUCGCAUCGAUGAAGAACGUAGCGAAAUGCGAUACUUGGUGUGAAUUGCAGAAUCCCGUGAACCAUCGAGUCUUUGAACGCAAGUUGCGCCCGAAGCCUUCGGGCCGAGGGCACGCCUGCCUGGGCGUCACGCAUCGCGUCGCCCCCCACCA
rnacentral:rRNA from 1 species